CAGACGGCAGAAGAACUGUCUCUCUUUACUGCACAGCAUCAAAUAAGGAACUUGAAAAGGGAAACAAGGACCAAUUAUAAAGUGUCCCUGUCUCACGACCCUGUCAGAUUCUCAGGGAAAUGAUCUUAUGGAAGGCUGCAGGACGUCCCAGCAAAAGAGGUGAAAGGCUCCUGACUCUUGAGAAGGAUCUGCGUCCCUCUUCCCCUUCCUCCUUCAGAGGGAGAGCUCCCCUCUAGUGCCCUGAUCUUUCCUGGACUGUUCAAAGACAGCAACUAUGGUUUCCUGGACUGGAGAAGUCUGACGAGCAAUUUUUCCCAGGCACCGAUUUGGGAACCCAGACACUGUGGUUGCUCAGAGGACGACUUUGAAUCCCUGCUGUCAUCUUCUUCAUCGUCAGUUUUAGAGAGG